GAUCUGCCCUGCACUUUGGGAUAAGCCUGGGAAACUGGGUCUAAUACCGAAUAUGACUAUGGGAUGCAUGUCCUGUGGUGGAAAGCUUUUGCGGUGUGGGAUGGGCCCGCGGCCUAUCAGCUUGUUGGUGGGGUGAUGGCCUACCAAGGCGACGACGGGUAGCCGGCCUGAGAGGGUGUCCGGCCACACUGGGACUGAGAUACGGCCCAGACUCCUACGGGAGGCAGCAGUGGGGAAUAUUGCACAAUGGGCGCAAGCCUGAUGCAGCGACGCCGCGUGAGGGAUGACGGCCUUCGGGUUGUAAACCUCUUUCAGUAGGGACGAAGCUUCGGUGACGGUACCUACAGAAGAAGCACCGGCCAACUACGUGCCAGCAGCCGCGGUAAUUACUGGGCGUAAAGAGCUCGUAGGUGGUUUGUCGCGUUGUUCGUGAAAACCGGAGGCUCAACCUCUGGCGUGCGGGCGAUACGGGCAGACUUGAGUACUGCAGGGGAGACUGGAAUUCCUGGUGUAGCGGUGGAAUGCGCAGAUAUCAGGAGGAACACCGGUGGCGAAGGCGGGUCUCUGGGCAGUAACUGACGCUGAGGAGCGAAAGCGUGGGGAGCGAACAGGAUUAGAUACCCUGGUAGUCCACGCCGUAAACGGUGGGUACUAGGUGUGGGUUUCCUUCCUUGGGAUCCGUGCCGUAGCUAACGCAUUAAGUACCCCGCCUGGGGAGUACGGCCGCAAGGCUAAAACUCAAAGAAAUUGACGGGGGCCCGCACAAGCGGCGGAGCAUGUGGAUUAAUUCGAUGCAACGCGAAGAACCUUACCUGGGUUUGACAUGCACAGGACGUGCCUAGAGAUAGGUAUUCCCUUGUGGUCUGUGUGCAGGUGGUGCAUGGCUGUCGUCAGCUCGUGUCGUGAGAUGUUGGGUUAAGUCCCGCAACGAGCGCAACCCUUGUCUCAUGUUGCCAGCACGUAAUGGUGGGGACUCGUGAGAGACUGCCGGGGUCAACUCGGAGGAAGGUGGGGAUGACGUCAAGUCAUCAUGCCCCUUAUGUCCAGGGCUUCACACAUGCUACAAUGGCCGGUACAAAGGGCUGCGAUGCCGUGAGGUGGAGCGAAUCCUUUAAAGCCGGUCUCAGUUCGGAUCGGGGUCUGCAACUCGACCCCGUGAAGUCGGAGUCGCUAGUAAUCGCAGAUCAGCAACGCUGCGGUGAAUACGUUCCCGGG
rnacentral:rRNA from 1 species